rnacentral:rRNA from 1 species
AGAGUUUGAUCCUGGCUCAGGACGAACGCUGGCGGCGUGCUUAACACAUGCAAGUCGAACGGUGAUCUUGAGAGCUUGCUCUUGGGUGAUCAGUGGCGAACGGGUGAGUAACACGUGAGCAACCUGCCCCAGACUCUGGAAUAACCCCGGGAAACCGGAGCUAAUACCGGAUACGACACUGGCCCGCAUGGGUAUGGUGUGGAAAGUUUUUCGGUCUGGGAUGGGCUCGCGGCCUAUCAGCUUGUUGGUGAGGUAGUGGCUCACCAAGGCGACGACGGGUAGCCGGCCUGAGAGGGCGACCGGCCACACUGGGACUGAGACACGGCCCAGACUCCUACGGGAGGCAGCAGUGGGGAAUAUUGCACAAUGGGCGCAAGCCUGAUGCAGCGACGCCGCGUGAGGGAUGACGGCCUUCGGGUUGUAAACCUCUUUCAGCAGGGAAGAAGCGCAAGUGACGGUACCUGCAGAAGAAGCACCGGCUAACUACGUGCCAGCCGCCGCGGUAAUAC